CCAAUAGCGUAUAUUAAAGUUGUUGCAGUUAAAAAGCUCGUAGUUGAAUUUCGGGGUUAGUAGGUUGGUCAUGCCUCUGGUAUGUACUGGUCUCACUGAUUCCUCCUUCCUGAUGAACCUUAAUGCCAUUAAUUUGGUGUUUUGGGGAAUUUGGACUGUUACUUUGAAAAAAUUAGAGUGUUUAAAGCAAGCUAACGCUUGAAUACAUUAGCAUGGAAUAAUGAAAUAGGACGUUCGAUCCUAUUUUGUUGGUUUCUAGGAUUGACGUAAUGAUUAAUAGGGAGAGUCGGGGGCAUUAGUAUUCAAUUGUAAGAGGUGAAAUUCUUGGAUUUAUUGAUGACUAACUACUGCGAAAGCAUUUGCCAAGGAUGUUUUCAUUAAUCAAGAACGAAAGUUAGGGGAUCGAAGACGAUCAGAUACCGUCGUAGUCUUAACCAUAAACUAUGCCGACUAGGGAUCGGAUGAUGUUAAUUUUUUAAUGACUCAUUCGGCGCCUUACG
rnacentral:rRNA from 1 species